AUAUCAAUAAGCGGAGGAAAAGAAACUAACAAGGAUUCCCCUAGUAACUGCGAGUGAAGAGGGAAAAGCUCAAAUUUAAAAUCUGGCAGCUUCGCUGUCCGAGUUGUAAUUUAGAGAAGUGUUGCCCGCGUUGGACCGUGUAUAAGUCUCCUGGAAUGGUGCGUCAUAGAGGGUGAGAAUCCCGUCUUUGACACGGACUACCAAUGCAUUGUGGUACGCUCUCAAAGAGUCGUGUUGUUUGGGAAUGCAGCACUAAAUGGGUGGUAAAUUCCAUCUAAAGCUAAAUAUUGGCGAGAGACCGAUAGCGAACAAGUACCGUGAGGGAAAGAUGAAAAGAACUUUGGAAAGAGAGUUAAACAGUACGUGAAAUUGUUGAAAGGGAAACGUUUGAAGUCAGUCGCGUCGGCUGGGAAUCAGUCUUGCUUUUGCUUGAUGUACUUUCUAGUCGACGGGUCAGCAUCAGUUUUGACUGCUGGAUAAAGGUUGAGGGAAUGUGGCACCUUCGGGUGUGUUAUAGCCCUUGGUCAUAUACAGUGGUUGGGACUGAGGUACUCAGCACGCCGCAAGGCCGGGUUUCGACCACGUUCGUGCUUAGGAUGCUGGCAAAAUGGCUUUAAGCGACCCGUCUUGAAACACGGACCAAGGAGUCUAACAUGCCUGCGAGUAUUUGGGUGGAAAACCCGAGUGCGCAAUGAAAGUGAAAGUUGAGAACUCUUUAGAGUGCAUCGACGCCCGGACCAGACGUUUUCUGACGGAUCCGCGGUUGAGCAUGUAUGUUGGGACCCGAAAGAUGGUGAACUAUGCCUGAAUAGGGCGAAGCCAGAGGAAACUCUGGUGGAGGCUCGUAGCGAUUCUGACGUGCAAAUCGAUCGUCGAAUUUGGGUAUAGGGGCG
rnacentral:rRNA from 1 species